rnacentral:rRNA from 1 species
UUUGACGGCCAAAGUGGCGGGGCCACACCUGGUCUCAUUCCGAACCCAGAAGUUAAGCCCGCCCACGUUCUUUGCGGUACUGAGGUGCGCGAGCCCUCGGGAAGCUCAGGGUCCUUGCGGCC